CAAAUCCAAUGUUGUAAAGAUUCCAAGCGUUGAGUCGUGGCAGCCUAAGCCAGCAAGCAAUGGUUCUAGUUUGGCUAACAUCAACCUUGGCUCCCGUGAAAGUGGCUCAAUGAACAUCCCUCAUCUUGUAUUUGAAGACGUCUUUCAAUAUCCAUCUGAGAAUAUUGAUACUUCCAAUACUGCAGGAGGGUAUGGUCUAGUUGCGGGCCAGGGGACUUCAACAGGAUCUGCUCCACCACCAAAAGGGCCCUCAUUCCCCAAUAACCCAACCAAUGAAAGAGCCAAACCUGCAAAGCUAAAUUAUGGAAAGAUGCCAAAACCAGUUUUUAGCCCCAGAAUAGCGUUUGCUCCCCAGAGAGUGAGUGAACCAUUCGCUCAAAGCUAUAUAAACCAGUCCAGAAACAGCUACCAGCGAGCAAAGUAUCAACAAUCCAACACCAGGUACUCUCCAAGGACCAAAUGGUAACCAACAUGGAUUUUUGAAUUGGAAGUUGCAGAAUGUGAUGUCCUCCCAAAGAAACAAAAUACAACUUUUAAAACUUUACAUUU